AACACCAAUGUCCCCUUUGAGAGAUUUAAGAAUUUCCACUUGUCUGCAGGGACCUUUGAGAUGAGAUGCAAGGUGAUCCAGGAGCUCAAAGUACAUCACCACUGUAAUUGAAAGAGCCCUUGAGGACUUUGGCCACAAAGGGACACAGAUGCUGCUUAGUAUGACAAGAUCUCCCACCUUGAAGCAGAACGGAAGGGACCCUGACUGCAGGACCGAAUGACUCAGAAGACUGCUGAGCUUCUAAGCUUCCAGGGGAACGUGAAGCCUUUCAUCUUCAGCGGUCUGGUUAAAGUUGAAGGUCUUGCACAUGGUGCCAGGAGAGACCAGGCAGAGUGUGACCCUGAGGGAGAGUCAGGUGGCACGUCUAGAGCCAGCUCUAACUUUUGGAUUGUACUCCAUGGAUCUCUGAAUUCAGGAUCUUUUUUCAAGGAGGAACUGUGAAGGGACUUUACACAGACAGUGAAGUGAAUCAUGUAUGUUCCUGACCAACCAGCAGAAAGACCCAUUUGUUAUUUGGCCAAGUGAUCUACAGAAAGGAGAAUGAGGUCUUCCUUGGAAAGCCUGCUCUAGAAAUCUCAACUUCUCCAAAAUUAGCCUGAUCUAUUGGCAGAGCUACUAUGUGCUGGAUGGCUGGCUGGACUGGAGUCAGUACAGGCUGCCUAUUUCCUAGAUCCUGGGCAUGGGAGUGGGAGACUGCAUGUUAGCCUGUAUCCCUUCUAGGGUCUUAUGAAAUAGAAAUGCUCUCAGUAGAAGGAACCAACGCUGAGAUCCCGCUGCCCUCUACAUUGAACUCCUAGGAGACAGGGGUUAAAGGCAAUGAUUUUCCACAUUGUGUGGAUGUGUGCCUGUGUGAUAUCUCCUCUUCAGCUGAUGCAGAGUUUACAAUGGCAAGAAAACUCUCUUCUUUCAGGUGCUGUGAAAGAAAGGAAAGAGAGCAAAAAGCAAUCACUCCAAAGAAUGUUUAGUGCAAAGCAGGUGCAUUCAGGAAACUUUUUGAGGUAGAACUCAGGAGAAGGAUGACUUGUUUGUUGAAGCUAUUGGCUCAGUCUUUUGGGGCCAGAAUCUCCAGUGGAACAUUAUGCAGUCCUGGAAUUGCACACAUUUUAUGUUUAGACUUGGGUCCCGUUCCCAAGAUAGCUCAGGUAUAUGCAGAUAUUCCAAAAUCUGAAAAAAAAUCUGAAAUCUAAAACACUUCUGGCCCCAAGCAUUUCAAAUAAGGGAUAUUACCCUGUGUUAUACUCUCUAGAUCUGCACAGCAUUUGUAAGAGGUAAUGAAUAACUUUUUGUAAGAUUAUUUGUUUACUAUCUCCCUCUGACUGUAAUGUUACACAGAUUUAUCCCUACUGCCUGCUAUGAGUGCCAGGGUUGAAUAGA
rnacentral:lncRNA from 1 species